GGGUCUUAGCCAUGGACGACGGAGCUGAGGCCCUAAGUACUGAGAACGAAAUAGAGGAGGAGCAGUGGCUGCCGCCGUUGUUGAAUCAUGUUUUCUUCUUCGCUCCGGCCUCGGCGUAGGGUCGUUGGGGCCGUCAGGGCUCGUGGAUCCCGUAUCAUCCUCUGGGGAGCACGAGGAUCAUCGGUGGGUUCCGAAUUUGUCGCCGGGCUUCGUCAAACGCCGCGGAUCCGCCGAGCCGCGUGGGUGGGGGCCUCUGCGUCACCGUACUAGCAUAAUUAUGAAUAGUUACAGGAAGCUUCAGCUUUGGGAUGAAGAACUUCUCUUAUGACGGAAUGAAGGGAGAUAAAGAGUGGGCGACGAAGCUAAAAGCCAAGGACCUUCGACUUAACAUAUUGACGAAGCUCAAGCAUGAAGAUGACUGAAAGGGGCUGAAGACCUUAUAGUCCUCAAUAAUUCAUGUUAGGAUUAUAGGCAGUUACCAAUGACAUAAAUGUAAUUUUAUCCGGGCUACGUCUCGUGCCUAUAAAUAGAUGAACAGUAACACCGUACUGUUCACGCUGGAUUGUAAUCGCUCUCGCGUCAUUCUUGCCCUCUCACCUUUUGGCAAGCUGAAGGUACCAUAGUAAUAUGAGUAUUGUUAAUGCUUAUUCAUGUUUGAUGAAGAUAAUAAUAAAUGAAUCAUUGAU
rnacentral:lncRNA from 7 species